AUUAAACGCUGGCGGCAUGCCUUACACAUGCAAGUCGAACGGUAGCGCGGGGCAACCUGGCGACGAGUGGCGAACGGGUGAGUAAAGCAUCGGAACGUGCCCUGGAAUGGGGGAUAACGUAGCGAAAGUUACGCUAAUACCGCAUAUUCUGUGAGCAGGAAAGCAGGGGAUCGCAAGACCUUGCGUUCUGGGAGCGGCCGAUGUCGGAUUAGCUAGUUGGUGGGGUAAAAGCCUACCAAGGCGACGAUCCGUAGCGGGUCUGAGAGGAUGAUCGCCACACUGGGACUGAGACACGGCCCAGACUCCUACGGGAGGCAGCAGUGGGGAAUUUUGGACAAUGGGCGGAAGCCUGAUCCAGCCAUGCCGCGUGAGUGAAGAAGGCCUC
rnacentral:rRNA from 1 species